rnacentral:tRNA from 1 species
GUGUAGGUCAGUGGUACAGCGCUUGUCUAAGAUACAGGAGGCCCUGGGUUUAAUUCCCAGCAC